rnacentral:rRNA from 1 species
AUUGAACGCUGGCGGCAUGCUUUACACAUGCAAGUCGAACGGUAACAGGCCGCAAGGUGCUGACGAGUGGCGAACGGGUGAGUAAUGCAUCGGAACGUGCCCAGUCGUGGGGGAUAACUACUCGAAAGAGUAGCUAAUACCGCAUACGAUCUAUGGAUGAACGCGGGGGACCGUAAGGCCUCGCGCGAUUGGAUCGGCCGAUGUCAGAUUAGGUAGUUGGUGGGGUAAAGGCUCACCAAGCCAACGAUCUGUAGCUGGUCUGAGAGGACGACCAGCCACACUGGGACUGGGACACGGCCCAGACGCCUACGGGAGGCAGCAGUGGGGAAUUUUGGACAAUGGGCGCAAGCCUGAUCCAGCAAUGCCGCGUGCAGGAAGAAGGCCUUCGGGUUGUAAACUGCUUUUGUACGGAACGAAACGGCUCUGGUUAAUACCCGGGGCUAAUGACGGUACCGUAAGAAGAAGCACCGGCUAACUACGUG